CAGUAAAUAAUUUAAUUAAAAUAUUAAUUUUGGAGAUUAAAAAUAAGUGUAAGGCUUUUUACUGA
rnacentral:tRNA from 1 species